rnacentral:rRNA from 1 species
GAGUUUGAUCCUGGCUCAGAACGAACGCYGGCGGCGUGCUUAACACAUGCAAGUCGAACGUGAUUGAGAGCUUGCUCUCAUGAAAGUGGCGCACGGGUGAGUAACACGUGGAUAAUCUGCCUGGCGAUUCGGGAUAACACUUSGAAAGGGGUGCUAAUMCCGGAUAAGCCCACGGUCUYUUCGGAGAGCGCGGGAAAAGGGGGCCUCUGUAUAUGCUCCUGUCGCUAGAUGAGUCCGCGGCCCAUUAGCUAGUUGGUAGGGUAAUGGCCYACCAAGGYUACGAUGGGUAGMUGGUCUGAGAGGAUGAUCAGCCACACKGGAAYUGAGACACGGUCCAGACUCCURCGGGAGGCAGCAGUGGGGAAUUUUGMKCAAUGGGYGAAASCCYGWCGCAGCAACGCCGCSUGAGUGAYGAAGGCCUUCGGGUCGUAAAGCUCUGUCAGAGGGGAAGAACCGCCGGGUGGMUAAUACCUGCYUGGUCUGACGGUACCCUCAAAGGAAGCMCCGSCUAACUCCGUGCCAGCAGCCGCGGUAAUACAAGGGCGAAUUGGGCACAUAUCCAUCCCAUGAKGCGGCCUYUMCWGCCCGUCUUURUACAGCCAAUGAAACAGCUAGAACCAKGSC